UCACUGCUAAGCCAGAGAGACACUGCUCAUCCACAACUAAUCAGGCUUAUAUGAAUAUGGCUCAUUCCUUCCUGGGAAGAAUAAAGAAUAUAAGAAUAUAACACUCGCUGCACAGAGAAGAAAUUUGACCAAAAUCCAGUCUAUUCACCCAGGGGGGUGUUGUGAAGAGGGGAUCCAGGGACCUUGAGGACUGAAGCACACUUGAUCCUUUGCUUAUCUGUUUGCGCUCCAGCA